GAUAUAAAUAACCUUUCAGAGGCCGCUGAUGUUUGAAGUCGACUCUCCACUGAGUCUCGUCAGCGACAACAAUGAACCGAAGCGCCUCUGUGGUUCAAAGCAUGAAGACGUUUCAUUACCUCUUCGUAGACAUUACGCAGGAAGUUGAUUUCAUCAGUCAGAGCUCCCACUUUAUCCUCCAGAUCUGCUUUCACCAGCCUCAUUGUGUCGUGCUGAAGCAAAAGUUAAGACACAAUAGAGAAGAGACAGAAACCUCUUUCAUACAUGCAACAUGUUGGGGUUCAGUUAUCUGGGAAAGGUUGUAAUUUCUAUCAUUCACACACAUCAGUCCUCCACCAGGCCUUGCAUGUUCCUCAGCUCCCCGUCCAGUUUGGUCUUGUCGUUGUUGACCAGGUCCAUCUGGCGCCUCAGAC